rnacentral:rRNA from 1 species
AGUGAACGCUGGCGGUAGGCCUAACACAUGCAAGUCGAACGGCAGCACAGUAAGAGCUUGCUCUUACGGGUGGCGAGUGGCGGACGGGUGAGGAAUACAUCGGAAUCUACUUUUUCGUGGGGGAUAACGUAGGGAAACUUACGCUAAUACCGCAUACGACCUACGGGUGAAAGCAGUGGAUCUUCGGACCUUGCGCGAUUGAAUGAGCCGAUGUCGGAUUAGCUAGUUGGCGGGGUAAAGGCCCACCAAGGCGACGAUCCGUAGCUGGUCUGAGAGGAUGAUCAGCCACACUGGAACUGAGACACGGUCCAGACUCCUACGGGAGGCAGCAGUGGGGAAUAUUGGACAAUGGGCGCAAGCCUGAUCCAGCCAUACCGCGUGGGUGAAGAAGGCCUUCGGGUUGUAAAGCCCUUUUGUUGGGAAAGAAAAACAGCAGGUUAAUACCCCGCUGUUCUGACGGUACCCAAAGAAUAAGCACCGGCUAACUUCGUG